rnacentral:rRNA from 1 species
CUACGGGAGGCAGCAGUGGGGAAUAUUGGACAAUGGGCGAAAGCCUGAUCCAGCCAUGCCGCGUGAGUGAUGAAGGCCUUCGGGUUGUAAACCGCUUUCAGCAGGGAAGAAGCGCAAGUGACGGUACCUGCAGAAGAAGCACUGGCUAACUACGUGCCAGCAGCCGCGGUAAUACGUAGGGUGCGAGCGUUGUCCGGAAUUAUUGGGCGUAAAGAGCUUGUAGGCGGUUUGUCGCGUCUGCUGUGAAAAUCCGGGGCUCAACCCCGGACUUGCAGUGGGUACGGGCAAACUAGAGUGUGGUAGGGGAGACUGGAAUUCCUGGUGUAGCGGUGAAAUGCGCAGAUAUCAGGAGGAACACCAAUGGCGAAGGCAGGUCUCUGGGCCACUACUGACGCUGAGGCGCGAAAGCGUGGGGAGCAAACCGGAUUAGAAACCCGAGUAGUCC